rnacentral:tRNA from 1 species
GAGCCACGUGGCGUAGUGGUUAAGCACUUGCACUGCCUGCCACUCACAUGGUCAGGAGUUUGAGCCCCCUGUGGGUCA